rnacentral:rRNA from 1 species
UAAUACGGAGGGUGCAAGCGUUGUUCGGAAUCAUUGGGCGUAAAGGGCGCGUAGGCGGGUCGUUAAGUCCGACGUGAAAUCCCUCGGCUCAACUGAGGAAGUGCAUCGGAUACUGGCGGUCUUGAGUCCUGGAGAGGGUAGCGGAAUUCCCAGUGUAGAGGUGAAAUUCGUAGAUAUUGGGAGGAACACCGGUGGCGAAGGCGGCUACCUGGACAGUGACUGACGCUGAGGCGCGAAAGCAUGGGUAGCAAACAGGAUUAGAUACCCUGGUAGUCCAUGCCGUAAACGAUGGGUGCUAGUUGGUGCGGGUAUUGACCCCUGCGCUGACGAAGCUAACGCAUUAAGCACCCCGCCUGGGGAGUACGGCCGCAAGGUUA